rnacentral:rRNA from 1 species
AGUGAACGUUGGCGGCGUGGAUUAGGCAUGCAAGUCGAGCGAUCGUAGCAAUACGGGAGCGGCAAACGGGGUAGGAAUACAUCGGAACGUACCUUUUGGUUGAGAAUAGCGUUGGGAAACUGACGGUAAUACUCAAUAAAGUCGAGAGACCAAAGGUUUACUGCCGGAAGAGCGGCCGAUGCGAUAUUAGGUAGUUGGUGGGGUAAUGGCCUACCAAGCCUGAGAUGUCUAGGGGUGUGAGAGCAUGGCCCCCACCACUGGGACUGAGAUACUGCCCAGACACCUACGGGUGGCUGCAGUCGAGGAUCUUCGUCAAUGGGCGAAAGCCUGAACGAGCGACGCCGCGUGCGGGAUGAAGGCCCUUGGGUUGUAAACCGCUGUCAGGGGGGAUGAAACCGUAAGGUUGACAGAGCCCCAGAGGAAGCACGGGCUAAGUUCGUGCCAGCAGCCGCGGUAAU